rnacentral:rRNA from 1 species
CCCAACAAGUUUAAUUUAUAACUCUUGCUUUUGUUAUUUACGUAACAAAGGUAAAAUAAAUUUUAUACGUUUAGGUUGCGGGGAUCUAGAAAAUCUUACCUUUGGAAGCGAAUCUCGGAAUUACAUAAAUUGAUGGUAGAUAUUCAGACUGCUCAUGCUAAGUUGGGCAGUCAAGACGGAAACAGCCGAGAACACUGAUCAAGGUCCCAAAUGAUUGUUAAGUGAAAUUAAGGAUGUAGCAAUAUCGAAUACAGCUGUGAAGUGAGCCUGGCAGUCGCUACUUAUAAUGAUCGUACGUAACAACGCAUCAGCAGUAUUUUAUAACUUAAAAGUUAUAAAAAUGAUAGUAGCACCGAAAAUUUAACGGGUCUUAAACAAUCAACCGAUAUCGUGUUGGUUUUAUUAAAAAGUAAAUUUUUAAUGGAAUCUAGGUAGUAGAACAUUCAGUUUAACUGUUAAUUAAGUAGUGUUUCAUUAUUUAUUAGGUUACUGAAGAGAGAAUGCUGACAUGAGUAACGUAAAAAAUUCCUUAUAAUGGAAUUCGCCGAAUACGAAAGGGUUGCAAAUUUGAAAGGUUAAACCGUUUUGCUUUAAUGCGGCCUCUAAGGACUAUAGCAAUAGCUAUGGCUGAUGAGUAAAUHAUAGAAAAUCCANUAUUUAAAAAAUGGAUCAGGAAAAU